rnacentral:rRNA from 1 species
UACGUAGGGUGCGAGCGUUAAUCGGAAUUACUGGGCGUAAAGCGUGCGCAGGCGGUUUUGUAAGCCAGAUGUGAAAUCCCCGGGCUCAACCUGGGAAUGGCAUUUGGGACUGCAAGGCUGGAGUUUGGCAGAGGAGACUGGAAUUCCUGGUGUAGCAGUGAAAUGCGUAGAUAUCGGAAGGAACAUCAGUGGCGAAAGCGACUUCCUGGACCAGUACCGACGUUCAGGCACGAAAGCGUGGGGAGCAAACAGG